CUGGCACAUGAUGGAAUUCAUCUUUAGAAGCAAACAAUUGGCACACCAUGACAAUCAGCUAUAGAGGCAUAACAUUGGCACACCAGGGCAAUCAUUUUUAGAUGCGUAAAAUUGUGAGAGUGACUGUGUGGGGGAGGAGAGAGUGACAGUGUGGGGGUGAAGUGAGGGUUACAGUGUGGGGGGAAGUGAGAGUGACGGUGUGGGGAGGAAGUAAGGGUAAGAGUGUGGGGGGUGAGGGUGAC